rnacentral:rRNA from 1 species
UGAGACCAAAAUGCAGCUGAGCUGUUAUAAGCCCAAGAUGCACCUAAAACCACCCUCAAGACGAUCUCAGCACCCUUGAUUUAUCAAACUCCACGAAAGCUAAGACCCAAACUGGGAUUAGAUACCCCACUAUGCUUAGCCCUAAAUCCUGAUGCUUACCCUACCAAAGCAUCCGCCCGAGGACUACGAGCACAAACGCUUAAAACUCUAAGGACUUGGCGGUGCCCCAAACCCACCUAGAGGAGCCUGUUCUGUAAUCGAUAACCCACGAUACACCCGACCUCUCCUUGCUAAGGCAGCCUACAUACCGCCGUCGCCAGCUCACCUCCCUUGAAAGUAUAACAGUGAACACAAUAGCCACCCGCUAAUAAGACAGGUCAAGGUAUAGCCUAUGGAGUGGAAGAAAUGGGCUACAUUUUCUAACAUAGAAAAACGGAAGGGGGUGUGAAACCACCCCCCAAAGGCGGAUUUAGUAGUAAAGUAGAACAAUAGAGCCUACUUUAAGUCGGCCCUGAGGCACGUACAUACCGCCCGUCACCCUCC